rnacentral:rRNA from 1 species
GAUGAACGCUGGCGGCGUGCCUAAUACAUGCAAGUCGAGCGAACAGACGAGGAGCUUGCUCCUCUGACGUUAGCGGCGGACGGGUGAGUAACACGUGGAUAACCUACCUAUAAGACUUGGAUAACUUCGGGAAACCGGAGCUAAUACCGGAUAAUAUAUUGAACCGCAUGGUUCAAUAGUCAAAGACGGUUUUGCUGUCACUUAUAGAUGGAUCCGCGCCGCAUUAGCUAGUUGGUAAGGUAACGGCUUACCAAGGCAACGAUGCGUAGCCGACCUGAGAGGGUGAUCGGCCACACUGGAACUGAGACACGGUCCAGACUCCUACGGGAGGCAGCAGUAGGGAAUCUUCCGCAAUGGGCGAAAGCCUGACGGAGCAACGCCGCGUGAGUGAUGAAGGUCUUCGGAUCGUAAAACUCUGUUAUUAGGGAAGAACAAAUGUGUAAGUAACUAUGCACGUCUUGACGGUACCUAAUCAGAAAGCCACGGCUAACUACGUG